UACGGAGGAUUCAAGCGUUAUCCGGAUUUAUUGGGUUUAAAGGGUGCGUAGGCGGAACAUUAAGUCAGCGGUAAAAUGUCCGGGCUCAACCCGGGCCGGCCGUUGAAACUGGGGAUCUUGAGUGGGCGAGAAGUAUGCGGAAUGCGUGGUGUAGCGGUGAAAUGCAUAGAUAUCACGCAGAACUCCGAUUGCGAAGGCAGCAUACCGGUGCACAACUGACGCUCAGGCACGAAAGCGUGGGUAUCGAACAGG
rnacentral:rRNA from 1 species